AAGGCGCUAGUAAAGUCGUCAUUUACAUUGCUUUGUCAAGGCAAAAUCGUGGGUUCAACCCCCGCGCGCUUUA